rnacentral:rRNA from 1 species
GAUGAACGCUAGCUACAGGCUUAACACAUGCAUGUCGAGGGGUAACAAGAGAAAAGCUUGCUUUUCUUGUUGACGACCGGCGCACGGGUGAGUAACGCGUAUCCAGCCUGCCUAUAACUAGGGAAUAACCUUGCGAAAGUAAGACUAAUACCCUAUGAUUUCCUUUGAUGACAUCAGAUUAGGAAUAAAGAUAUAUCGGUUAUAGAUGGGGAUGCGUCUGAUUAGCUUGUUGGCGGGGUAACGGCCCACCAAGGCAACGAUCAGUAGGGGUUCUGAGAGUAAGGUCCCCCACAUUGGAACUGAGACACGGUCCAAACUCCUACGAGAGGCAGCAGUGAGGAAUAUUAGUCAAUGGGCGGAAGCAUGAACCAGCCAAUUAGCGUGCAGGAUGACGGACCUAUGGGUUGUAUACUGCUUUUGUACAGGAAUAAAGUUAGCCACGUGUGGUUAUUUGUAGGUACUGUAUGAAUAAGGACCGGCUAAUUCCGUGCCAGCCGCCGCCGUAA